GUGCUCGCUUUGGCAGCAUAUAUACUAAAAUUGGAAUGAUACAGAGAAGAUUAGCAUGGCCCCUGGGCAAGGAUGACAUGCAAAUUCGUGAAGUGUUCCAUAUUUUU
rnacentral:snRNA from 1 species